rnacentral:rRNA from 1 species
GACAGAGGCCCCAAGCGUUAGGCGGAAUCACUGGGCUUAAAGCGUGUGUAGGCGGACGCCUAAGUGUCUUGUGAAAUCCCCCGGCUCACCCGGGGAACUGCUGGGCAUACUGGGCGUCUUGGGCCAACUAGGGGCAGCCGGAACAAGCGGUGGAGCGGUGAAAUGCGUAGAUAUCGCUUGGAACGCCGAAGGUGAAAACAGGCUGCUGGGGUUGCGCCGACGCUGAGACACGAAAGCCAGGGGAGCAAACGGG